rnacentral:rRNA from 1 species
CCUAGGGAGGCUGCAGUGGGGAAUAUUGGACAAUGGGCGAAAGCCUGAUCCAGCCAUGCCGCGUGUGUGAAGAAGGCCUUCGGGUUGUAAAGCACUUUCAGUGGGGAAGAAAGCCUUGGGGCUAAUACCCUCGAGGAAGGACAUCACCCACAGAAGAAGCACCGGCUAACUCCGUGCCAGCAGCCGCGGUAAUACGGAGGGUGCGAGCGUUAAUCGGAAUUACUGGGCGUAAAGCGCGCGUAGGCGGUCUGAUAAGCCGGUUGUGAAAGCCCCGGGCUCAACCUGGGAACGGCAUCCGGAACUGUUAGGCUAGAGUGCAGGAGAGGAAGGUAGAAUUCCCGGUGUAGCGGUGAAAUGCGUAGAGAUCGGGAGGAAUACCAGUGGCGAAGGCGGCCUUCUGGACUGACACUGACGCUGAGGUGCGAAAGCGUGGGUAGCAAACAGGAUUAGAUACCCCGGUAGUC